rnacentral:lncRNA from 1 species
GGCCAGACCUAAUUUUCACACUCUGGAGAGGAUCUCUUGGAUGCUUAAGCUCCUUUUCAUCUUAUCUAGGGUUUGAUUUUCCAUUCUUCCAUUAUUUUCAUCUAGGUUCACCAUGACAAUGGUGAACUAAACCCUUUUGUUGUUGGGGGAAACAAUGUAAUCUUUUGAAACUCUCUUUUAUUGAAACUCUUGUUUAUUUAUAUGAUUCUUCAUAUGCUUUGAUUAUCAAUUGUUGGGUUCUCAUCUGCGCUUAAUGCUUUUGUCUUUUAACUCAUUCGAUAACCGUUGUUUGUCUUUAUUGAUACAGGAAUGUACAGUAAUGUCAUGAACUGGUGAGAAAUUCCUUGAUUAAGCAAUACCAACCUAGGGAUAGGGGGUAGGACGAUCAAUUGUUUUUGCUUUUGUUCUUAAUGCAUUAUUAAUUGCUAGGGGAGGCUAGGGAUAGCAAGCCGGUAAUUAGUAAUAGGCUCUUUUCGCCGAGGGAUCGGGUUAAGGGUAGGCCAAGAAAGUUUGCAUAACAAUUAGAUAAUCAAGCACAUUAAACAAGAGGAGUAGGUAAGAGAGAGCGAAUUAGAUGAAAUUGUAAACCCCCAACAACUUCAUUCAUCCAUAGUCUUUUUCGUCAAUUGAAUCAAACACAUUGCAUGUUUAUUUUCUGUCUUUGCAUCCACAACAAUUAAUUCUUUCUUUACAAGUCUUACGAUUUUGAUUCACAUGAACGAGCCUUUCAAGUCUCUUGGGAAGAACGAUAUCGGGUAUUGCACGAUCUGGUACACUUGCCAGUGAGUCAACAGCUUGCAAGGAGGAUACUUUCCCUUGCUGUUUGGUUGUUGGUUCUUUUUUUGUUUUUCCAACGGUCUUCAUGUUUAGCAGGCAAGGCUUCCUAAACAAAGCCUUCUUCUCUCAUACC